UACAGAGGGGGCAAGCGUUGUUCGGAAUUACUGGGCGUAAAGGGCGCGUAGGCGGCCCGCUAAGUCGAACGUGAAAUCCCCGAGCUCAACUCGGGAACUGCGUCCGAUACUGGCGGGCUUGAAUCCGGGAGAGGGAUGCGGAAUUCCAGGUGUAGCGGUGAAAUGACGUAGAUAUCUGGAGGAAUACCGGUGGCGAAGGCGGCAUCCUGGACCGGCAUUGACGCUGAGGAGCGAAAGCUAGGGGAGCAAAC
rnacentral:rRNA from 1 species